GGAAGAGCAAAUGUUUAGAAGUAUCAUUUUCUGUCACUGGAGAUUGCAGAUGAAGCUGCAAGAUGAUGGGAGUCCGGUUCUGAUAUUUACCAGAACUAAGGAUACUCAUAUGGCUCACAUGAUCGUGCAACAUUUUUUACAUUACCAUUUACCAGCAUCAAGAUUCUAUAAUGGUAGCAUUAGCAGAACUAAGAAUGCUUCUAUGUUCUGGAGCAGGGCUUAGCUACCGAUCUAGUUGCUUGUUUUAUCGAAAUGUUGUACGUGUGUGCUCAUAAGCUCUAGCAUCUCAAAUGGCAUCGUGGCGGAAUGAAUGAGUGGCAGAACCUACAUUAAGUCUUGCUAUAAGCAUAAAAAGAAACAGAAAAAAGUUUAGUUCGUGUGCUGGGC
rnacentral:lncRNA from 1 species